rnacentral:rRNA from 1 species
AAAUAAUAAAUUAAUAAAAAUAUAAAAAUAAUAAAAAAAUUUUUAAUAAUAUUUUAAUUGGGGAGUUAAAGUAUUAAUAUAGAAAUAAUAAAAAAAUUUUAUAGUAAAUUAGUAAUGUGAAUGAAAUUUGAAAUAAUGAAAAUUAAAUUAUAAAAAAGUAAUUUUUAUUUAAUGUAUCUUGUGUAUCAGAGUUUAUUAAUUAAAAUUUUAAUUUUAAAAUUUCUCGAAUUAAGAAGAGUUAAUUAAUUAAUAAAGUUAUUGUAAUAUAAAUAUUUUAUAUAAUUAAUUAGAAAUGAAAUGUUAAUCGUUUUUUAAGAUAUCUAGUUUUUUUAGAAAAAAAUUUAAUUUUAAAAUUAUAAAAAAAAAAUUAUUAAUAUUUAUUUAUUUUUAAUUUAUAAUUUAAAUAUUUUAAGGGAUAAGCUUUAAAAUAAAUUUUUAUAUAAUUUUUUGUUAUUAAUUAAAUUUUUAAAAUUUAUAUUGUUUAAAAAUUUUAGUUUAUUAUAAAUAGUUUAAUUAAAAAAAAAAUUUAAAAUAAAAUUAAAAUUUUAUAAAAAUAUUAUUUUUAAUAUAAAAAAUUAAAAUAUAAUGAUAAAAUUAGUAUAAAAAUUUAUAAAUUUUAAAUAGUAAAAAUUUAAAAAUUAAUAAAAAGAAUUCGGCAAAAAUUUAUAUUCACCUGUUUAUCAAAAACAUGUCUUUUUGAAAAUAAUUUAAAGUCAAAUCUGCCCACUGAUAAUAAUUAAAGGGCUGCAGUAAUUUGACUGUACAAAGGUAGCAUAAUCAUUAGUCUCUUAAUUAGAGACUUGUAUGAAUGAUUUAAUGAAAUAUAAACUGUUUCUUAUUAAUUAUAUUGAAUUUAAUUUUUUAAUUAAAAAGUUAAAAUUAAAUUAAAAGACGAGAAGACCCUAUAGAGUUUUAUAUAAAAAAAAAUUGUUUGAUUUUUUUAAGUAAAAAUAUUUAUACAAUUUUUUUUAUAUUUUGUUGGGGUGAUAAAAAAAUUAAAAUAACUUUUUUUUAAAAAUAACAUAAUUAAGUGAUUUAAUUGAUCCAAAAUUUUUGAUUAAAAGAAAAAAUUACCUUAGGGAUAACAGCGUAAUUUUUUUUUUUAGUUCAAAUAAAAAUGAAAGUUUGCGACCUCGAUGUUGGAUUAAGAUAAAAUUUAAAUGCAAAAGUUUAAAAUUUUGAUCUGUUCGAUCAUUAAAAUCUUACAUGAUCUGAGUUCAAACCGGUGUAAGCCAGGUUGGUUUCUAUCUUUAAUUAAAUAAAAUAUUAUAGUACGAAAGGAUUUAAUAUUUAAAAUAAUUUUAAUAUAAACUGAAUCUUAAUAAUAAAUGUAUAAAUUUAUUAAUUUA